UUCAUAAACAGUAUACUGAAUG
rnacentral:miRNA from 10 species